rnacentral:tRNA from 1 species
GGGCGAAUGGUUUAGUGGUAUAAUACUCCCUUAGCAUGUUCUCAACCUCGAGUCGUCAUUGGGAGUGGUCCAGGGUUCGAUUCCCUGUUCGUCCA